AGAUCAAGAUCCAUCACAACCAGGCUUUUUAUUAUCUCAUGACUCAGUUGGCAUCAGACGGUUACCCUUGUCCCUAAUCAUGCUGGUCCAACUGGAAGAAGAAGCAAAUUCAUGGCUGGGUGUGUGAGGAGAGGAGUGAACAGGCUGGGAGCGAAGAGGAGGUGAGGAGGAGGAGGAGGAGAGAGAAAAUCAAACAAGGACACAAGGAACAGGUCCACAAUGAACGAGGAGGAGGAAGAAGAGUUAUUAAGUCCAUUGCAUACCCUCUGGUGAUGCAUAAAUAAGAGAAUAAGAGCAGAGAGGUAGUUGAAAAACCAAGAAUGGUAAUAUUUAACAGUGUUUUCAUCAUAUUUCUGUAAUCCAGUGGGGGUCAUUUAAACAACCCGGCAACAGUGAACACGAAGUAUGGGUUGUUUUUCCAGUGAUUAUCAACUCUUUGCUGUAAGUAUUGGAAAACUGAUUCAGCUGCAAUAUAGGUUAAUGGUACUGCUGAGCAAAGCUACUUUGUAGGCUAGCAGGAAAUUACUAACACGAACCUCAAAACAAGAUGUUAUCACUGCGGGGAGCGAGUGCAUCCUUUUCUAACUUCCUGCCGCACUACAUGAUCAAAAGCUUAGGGGCCACAGGUAUAAUCUACAUAGUAAUAGACCAUCUAUACAACAACACAUGUUUCUCUUUAUUUCUUAAUUUCAUUGGCAGUGUGGACACAGGAAGACGAGUCACACCACAAAACAAAACAGAUCAAAAUGCUAGUUCCUGUCUCAUACUGUUGGUCAUAUGAUAACUUUCAUAUGAUUUGCUUUUCUCUUAAAUUAAGUAACUUCUUAAGUUGAGUAAUCAGUUAGUUGAUUGCAAGGUUCCAGUUUUUGAGAUGUGAAGAGUUCCUGAUGCUUUUUGUGCUGAAUUUUUGGACUGCAAGACAACACAACGAUGAACUGACUGGAUAUUAGCUUUGUCUGAUUAAAUAAAAUGCUUUAUCCGUUAUUAAAUAGCAUUAUAUUUUGUAAUUAAGAUUUCAGCUUCCUUGGCACAAAAGUGGGGAAAUCAAUCACAAAAAUAACACAAAUAUAGAGAAAAUAUUGGUAAUAUUUGAACUCUCUAUUUGUGCAUCCUACUCAAUAGAUCAACUCUCUGAGCAACUGUAUUGACCUGCACUCUACGAUUUCCAGUCAUACUAUUAAAUCAAAUACAUUUUGAGAAUUUAGAAAACCAUUAUCUGGUAAUCAAUCAUGAAAUCAAUAGCCCCGCCGUAAGCACGUCACAGGAUAGCACAAGUCAUGGGUGGGAAAUUCAUCUUCCCAAGGGACCACAUGAGAAACUGGGAAUGGUGUGGAGCUGAACUCGAUUCUGCUCAAUAUUAAUUUUAUCUCUUUAUAAACUGCUGCUGGUAAGAGUAGAUGUUCCAAUUAGGCCCAAAUUGUGGCCCCUUGGGAAAAUUAAAGGCCCACUCUUGACCUAAACUGACCCCUCACUGGGCCUAAAAAACAGAAAUAGUUUUAAAUACAUAAGCUACACCCAUUAAGGUAGCUAAUCUGUCUUUUUAGACUACUGUUGCUGCUAACUGCACCAAACAUUAAAUUAAUUUAAACAAAACUAUGGGUGUCUCACUCAAAGCCACUGGGGUUAACUUUUCUGACGAAAACCCUGCAGAUGCAUUUUUUUUUUUACCCAUGUAUGAAAGGAAAACACACUUUAGUCCUAAUGUCACAAAGUUUGACAUAUCACAGCAGACGCCAAAUAAUUUGCUCUUGUAACCUUCUGAAGGAUAUCCCCCAUGUCCUUAAAAACAUCACACACUGCAGUCAUACCCCAUGAACAUCAACACUUCCCUGUUCGGUAAACCACUGUGGUUCACCGCAGCAUUUCAACAUCAGCAGGUUUUCUCACAAAGUCAACAGAUGAUACGCAUGACAGGAAGUUCGCUUUUUCAUGCUAGUUUACCAAUGGAAGAGUGAUAAUGUCUUCAGUAGUCUUUCUACAAGUGCAGAUAUUAAUACCAAAAAAAGAAGGAACUACAGCGUAGUGAGGCAAGUACAAUAUUUCUGCUCUGAAAACUUUCAAAAACAAAUUCCGACUUCUACCACGAUCAGACCAGCCUUUACCUUAUAAAACUGAUUUUGCAAAAAAUUCAAAUUAAUAUAUUUAUAUUCGGUUCACUAAUUAAAGUAAUGCUCCAAAUGUUAGGUUUUUCCUGCUCAUCACCCUGUAUAAUGUUAGUGAGAGAGUAUAUCCCUAAUGUGGUCAUCUAAGGAAGUCAUCCAUGUCUAGAAGCACAGAAGAACCACCCACCUGCUGUUCAAACAUUCUGUUUGCCAAGUGCAGCCAGUCAGAGGAGAGCUGGCUUGUCUAUACAUGUGUGCUUUUACACUAAUGACACACAUCAAAUGAAAAAGCCGGUAUCAAACCAGGGACUCUUAUGCUUAUAGCAUCGGCAACCAAACAAAAUAUAUCCCAAGUAUUCAGCUAUUGGAUCAACCGUGAUGUCUAGUUUUUAAAAAAGUUCAAAAUUUGUACAGUCACCGCACACAAAAAUUAUCUGCAUGUGCUUAAACACAAGAUAUGAUGGUUUUAUAAUUGCCAAAAGAGCGCUGGAAAGAGCAGGGAAAUGUCUAGAGUUACACACUGAUUAAAACGCUGUAGUAGAGGCAGAUCUUGUAAAAGCAGACAUUUAUUGCUUGUAGACACCUCAUUGAGCUUAUGUCUACUGAGCUGUGGCAGCAGUUCCAAACUCCAGGGGCAGUGAGGUGGAUCGAUACAGCCCAUCUUUUGAUAAAUGGACCAAUUGCCUGAAUGACAGUAAUCCUAUCAGCUCCACCUUGCACAUUAGGACAACAUGGAAGCAGUGUAUGUUCUGUGGGAGUAGCCCUGUAAAAAAAAACAGCAUGCCCUCUUAAUCUAGAGAGUGGAUAAUGAUGAGGACAAAGCCACUUAAUGAAAAUCUAAACAAGGCAGGUGGGCUUCUUAAGCAGGAUACCAGCACAAAGGGAAACCCUGAGCUGAUACACUAAUAGGUCAGCCCUGAAGGCAUAACCUGGAUAUGAGUAGACUAUCACAUGCAGUGUUUAAUAGACUGGAAUCCAGGGGCAGUUCUGCUGCUGUGACUCACGGAUGUUAGCUGUAAAAGCGAAUUUUUAUCCUUGAAAACAAACAAAUAUGAAACUGACUUCCAACUGCCUGAGGGGCCACACAGCACUGUGGCAGCUUGAUUGUGUGUGCAUGUCGUGCAAGUCCAGUUAUGUUUACAGCACAUAUGAAGUGGCAUCCUGGCACUGACUGGGCAGCACAGUUGAUGAGGUUGGCUCCUUGGCAUAUGGCAGAGGAGCUGUUCAUGCUACUGCAGAGAUACCACUAAUGAGCCUGGGUGCUCCAGGAGAAGGAGGCUGCUGGUUGCACAGAAACACAUCCUAAGCCUAAGAACUCCACUUCCUUUAGCUUGUUUUGGAGAUUCUUUUUUUUUCUUUUUUUUUUGUAGCAUUGGACGACAAUAGACAGAAAGGAUCAUUUACUCUGUG